AGGACGAACGCUGGCGGCGUGCUUAACACAUGCAAGUCGAGCGGUAAGGCCUUUCGGGGUACACGAGCGGCGAACGGGUGAGUAACACGUGGGUGAUCUGCCCUGCACUCUGGGAUAAGCCUGGGAAACUGGGUCUAAUACCGGAUAUGACCUGCUCUCGCACGGGGGUGGGUGGAAAGAUUUAUCGGUGCAGGAUGGGCCCGCGGCCUAUCAGCUUGUUGGUGGGGUAAUGGCCUACCAAGGCGACGACGGGUA
rnacentral:rRNA from 1 species